GGUUUUGUUUUUAUUCUGAAAUUAUCACGUCACUUCGGGCACGUGUUAAACUUUCACACUGAUUUUGGAAUUGCUGUUUGUUCAGCCUCGGGAUUUAUUUUUUUUUGUUUUGUUUUGUUUUUAUCGAUGCUGCACUCUGAGAGAUUUUACAAAAAAAGCAUGUUAUUUCCAGGAUGGAUUUGUUAGAUUUGUUAGCUUCCCAGCAGUAAUUCAGCAGGUACAUUCUGUUGCAUUUUUGAUCUGGUUUUCCCUUCUCUCAACAUAAAUCUCUUUGAAGCAAAAGGUUUUUAUUCUGUGUUUGUAUGGAUGAUAAGGUGCUGGUCCUUGACUGAGUUUUCCUGUCUCAUGUGUGGCACACAAAUCCAAACAGCACUCUGUUUCUGGGCCAAGAAAGGGAUUUUCUGGGUUCACACUGAUGGCCACAGUGUGUUUGUGCUGGGCUCUGAGCAGCUG